GCUGGGUGUGGUGGCAUGUGCCUGUGGUCCCAGCUACUUGGGAGGCUGAGGCUGGAAGAUCACUUGAGCCCAGGAAUGCUGGGCUAUAGUGCGCUAUGCCCAUCAGGUGUCCGCAGUAAGUAUGGCAUCAAUAUGGUGACCUCCCAGGAGCGGGGGACCAUAAGGUUGCCUAAGGAGGGGUGAACUGGCCCAGGUCAGAAAUGGAGCAGGUCAAAAUCCCAUGCUGAUCAGUAGUGGGAUCGUGCCUGUCAAUAGCCACUGCACUCCAGCCUGGGCAACAUAGCGAGACCCUGUCUCA
rnacentral:SRP_RNA from 1 species